GGGUUGUGAGGUUAAGCGACUAAGCGUACACGGUGGAUGCCCUGGCAGUCAGAGGCGAUGAAGGGCGUGCUAAUCUGCGAUAAGCGCCGGUAAGGUGAUAUGAACCGUUAUAACCGACGAUACCCGAAUGGGGAAACCCAGUGUGACUCGUCACACUAUCAUUAACUGAAUCCAUAGGUUAAUGAGGCGAACCGGGGGAACUGAAACAUCUAAGUACCCCGAGGAAAAGAAAUCAACCGAGAUUCCCCCAGUAGCGGCGAGCGAACGGGGAGGAGCCCAGAGCCUGAAUCAGCAUGUGUGUUAGUGGAAGCGUCUGGAAAGGCGCGCGAUACAGGGUGACAGCCCCGUACACAAAAGCGCAUGUGCUGUGAGCUCGAUGAGUAGGGCGGGACACGUGGUAUCCUGUCUGAAUAUGGGGGGACCAUCCUCCAAGGCUAAAUACUCCUGACUGACCGAUAGUGAACCAGUACCGUGAGGGAAAGGCGAAAAGAACCCCGGCGAGGGGAGUGAAAAAGAACCUGAAACCGUGUACGUACAAGCAGUGGGAGCACAGGUUUACCUGUGUGACUGCGUACCUUUUGUAUAAUGGGUCAGCGACUUAUAUUCUGUAGCAAGGUUAACCGAAUAGGGGAGC
rnacentral:rRNA from 1 species